UCCUGGUUAGCUCAGUUGGUAGAGCGCUCCAGUGGAAAUUGAGAGGUCCCUGGUUCGACACUAGGACCAGGUG
rnacentral:tRNA from 1 species